rnacentral:lncRNA from 1 species
ACCUCCCCUCUGGCCAGAGACAUUCCAACCCCCGCAGUAAACUUCUCCUCCACACAGAAACAUUCCAAGCCUGUGGGUGCAGCACCUCGCCCUGCUCUCGUGUCUUCCUUCUCCAGCCAUGUACGACGUGCCUGCUUCCCCUUUGCCUUCUGCCAUGAUUAUGUUUCCUGAGGCCUCCCCAGCCAUGCUUCCUGUACAGCCU